ensembl:lncRNA
UUGUAAUACAAAAUACAUUCUUUAAUCAUUUAAACAUUGUAAAUAUACACUGGGGGUGGGGGGGGGGGGGGAUUUCUGUCAAGUGGGAAAUAGGGCACCAAGUUUCAAUGUCAUUUUUUUUUCUUUCAGGAACAACUGUAGAAAACAAGUGCACAAUAAGGACUCAUUAAAGGCGACUUGAACAAAACAUUUAAAGGUGUUCUAAAAAAAAUAAUUUAAUAGUAAUAAUUCUCUAUGGAGAUAUCUUAAAUGCCACUGUAUAGACAAAAGUGAAGAUGUAAAAUAGGCUUUCUGCACUUAAAUGUACGCAAACUCUCCUAUAAAAGGAGCUUUACAUGCUUCCACAACGUCUGCUUUUAAUCAAGGCUCUGUACCAAACGCACAGCCUCCAUACUUCCCAUCAUCAUAUGUACAUGAUAUACAAUUCCUUUUAAAUACAUUUCAUUUCAGUUUCCUUGUUAUUUACAAUAAGAGCUUAUUACUUCUUUAUGAACUGUUAGGAAAAUACAAUACAAAAAAAAAAUAUUCACAAAAUAGACCAUUUGUAAUUAGAAUGAAUAUUAUUGGCUACAGUUAUUUCAUCUAAAAUUCACAAUCAUAAGGCAUUGCUGUGAAUCUACAGAUUCUUUUAAAUGACCUAUACACAAAAGUCUCAAGCUGUAAACAAGUUUUUUUUUUUUUUUUUUUUUUUUUAGAAUUCUAAAGUCUUGUACACAAAGUGAAUCUGUAGAAAGUAUGGAUGAAGGAGUUAUGCAACUUUAAUAAGAAAGGCAUUCGGUGUUCUCUUAUUGAUCACUCUGUGAUACUGUAGUAAUAUUUUCUCACUGACCCAUACAGUAUAUCCGGCAUUUUAAGACUAGAUCUGUAAUCCGAACCCGAUCCUGUAAUCCUGUAUUCGCCAUAUUUGGAAGGUGUUGUCACGAGUCGAUAAUGUUUCAUGUGUUCGUGCUUUCGUGAUGGCAACGGAUGUUGCCAAGUGAAAACAGACUAAGAUCAUAAGAUCCUGCCUCGUACAAAUAGGCAACAUCUGUAAAACAAACAGCAGUGCCUGAUUCCUGGAUGCAUUCUCAAUGCAUAUUUUAGCUAUUAAUGGCAUUCUAUGGGGGGGAAAAAAGGGAAAGGGAAAAACACAGUUUCAGAGAACUAUGCUUUGUUUCACAGAGUACUACCCUGUAGUUUACCAUAUCCUCAAUUUGCUCUUUAGUUGAAACCAUAUACAUGGACAUUGAGAACAUGUAAACUGUAACCCACGCCGCUGGUCGCUAAUGGCUGUAUUCAGAGUUGACUUAAGCACAUGCAGUGAGGAUUUCAUACAGAAAUUGUGCAUUUAGAACUCAGACUGAACUUAAGCACCAUUUAGAAACCGCAUGAGAAAAACAAAGGCGUGUGUCAGUUACGCACAAUUCUCAAACCAAUUUUCUCGCAUGAUAUCAGCUCGAGUGAGGAGCAGUAAUAAGUCCAGUGCUAUUAUCUGACAGUUUAACGUAACCACAGUAUGUCAUGAUUUGGGCUGCAAAUGCACAAAAAAAUGACGUAGUGCAAUUUGAGGCCAAUAUUAAAUACAUAAAAUUGGCACUAUUAAUUAUUUAAUAGUAUCAUCCCUUUAAAGAUAUUGUUUUUUUUGUUUUUUUUAGUGUAAAGUUAUGAAUUAAAUUAAAGUGAGCUUAAAGGGUAGCAGAUGAAUGUUUGGAAAGCUUAUCCUGCAAACCGUGGACUUUUUUUCCUUUUUCUUUUUUUUCUUCUUUUUUUUUUUUUUUUUACAGGAAAGCACAUCGAAUUAACAAAAACAUUGGCAUUAUUUUAUCAAUUUUAUUAAACAAAUCAAAAUAGCAUGAUCAAAUAACCAAUAUCCUGUGCACACAUUAGGAUUUCAUGACCUCCUGGCUACAUUAAGUCGUCAUUAAGCACAAUAUCAAUAAAUAAAAGGUAAAAUGAUAGGAUGUGCUGGAUCAAGUGCUAUUUUAUUAGCUUACAAAUAUCUCCCCACUUAAAUAUUGAUGUAAAGCGUGGACUUAAGUCACCAACACUGAAUACAGCCCUAAAUCAGUAAAGCAGCACUGAGGCAUGGUUCACUUCUGUAGAUUCAGACGAUGCCGAGACUAAGUGACUGUGCGCUAUUUUUUUUUUUUUUUUGAGACAAUAUACAAAACGAGUGCUUAUAAAAAAAAAGUAAUAUAAGCAAUGAGAUGUGGUAGACCUAACAGACAUGAACAUGUGGUUAUAUAGUUGAUGGUGUUACAGAACAGUAAGAGAUUAUGUUUUUGUGGAAUCCAUGGAACAUAGUGGUUAUUUCUGAUAGAUUAUCCUGAAGCCUGGCAGAACGUGUAUGAAAUAUGUGUGCUUCUCCUCACUGGAUAACUCAGUCCUGUUUUUCGAAUAUGCUGUCAAGCCUAAAUUCCUACAGACAUUGAAAUCAUUUCAUUACCUCAUUACCUGUUGUUAAGGCUUUGGCUUUCAUAUAAAUCUCUUCAAAACAUGUGCAGCAAAAAAAAUAAUAAAUCAUGAAAAGACAGCUAUAUCUGAUCAUGAACCUCAUUCAUCGAUAGUGAACGUCAAUCCUCUAUUACAAACCCACAAACACACAAACACACACACACACACACACACACACACACACACACACACACACACACACACACACACACACACACACACGCACGCACACUGGCCCAGAUUAAUCUCUGUCUCACUGUAAUCUCCUCUCAUUUAUCCAUGAUUCCCCUUCACGUUUUUUCUGAGUCCUGGGAAGAGGGAGUCCUUUCCACAUCGCUCCCUGGAGGGAACGAAGGACCUAUCGGUGAAGCUCCCUCGUUCGCCGCUGCUCCCUAGUUCCUCUCAGGUCCGCUGGCACAUGUGCAGUCUGGACCUGGAGUAGGACGUGGCAUCCUUCCACACUUUGCACACCAGGCCUUUGGCACAGUCGCAGCGCUGAAAGAUCUCCAAGUUGUGUGAGCCUUUCUUGCGCUGUUUGGUGCACACUUCGCCUUGGCGCAGCACCGGCUUGCAGAUCUUGGUCCAGAAGUGGCGGGCACAGCAGUAACCCUCUGAACAGUCUGAGGAACGCAGACAAGCGUCGCCCUCAUGACCUACGCACAAACCAUGGGGAUGAACCCAGUUAAACAUUUUAGCAUUGUCAUGUAUUAUGUUGAAAUGCUGAAACAAUCCAGUAAAAUAAUGACAUGUCAAAGGAACAC